rnacentral:tRNA from 1 species
GCCCAGAUGGUGGAAUUGGUAGACACAAGGGACUUAAAAUCCCUCGACAUAUAUAUUGUUGUGCGGGUUCAAUUCCCGCUCUGGGUACCA